CAUAUAUCUCAAGUUUUGAAUCAUCUAUGCCCAUUUGGAUCGGUUUAAAUGAUCUACAACAAGAAGGUUUUUACGCUGGACGGACGGGUCUGCACCUGAUUUCUCUAACUGGGAAUCAGGUCAGCCUGACAACUUAGCUGGAGAGCACUGCAUUGGGCCCAACUUUGGGGUUUUCGGCGCUUGGAAUGACUUUCCAUGUCACUAUGUGCACCCGUAUAUUUGUGUGAAGAAAGGUAGCGAGAUUUGUGAUCUAUUAUUAUUGUUGAUGCAUGCAUUACUUCUGCAUUCAUCAGUAACUUUACGUGUUCCGUAAUAAUUACUGUUGACAAGAACAGGACCGAGAACAGAUGAAGA